UACAGAGGUCUCAAGCGUUGUUCGGAUUCAUUGGGCGUAAAGGGUGUGUAGGUGGCGCGCUAAGUCGGGUGUGAAAUUUCGGAGCUUAACUCCGAAACUGCAUUCGAUACUGGCGUGCUUGAGGACUGGAGAGGAGACUGGAAUUCAUGGUGUAGCAGUGAAAUGCGUAGAGAUCAUGAGGAAGACCAGCGGCGAAGGCGGCAUCCUGGACUGGUCCUGACACUCAGGAGCGAAAGCGUGGGGAGCGAUCCGG
rnacentral:rRNA from 1 species